CCUACGGGUGGCUGCAGUGAGGAAUAUUGGUCAAUGGGCGCGAGCCUGACCCAGCAACGCCGCGUGAAGGAAGAAGGCUUUCGGGUUGUAAACUUCUUUUGUCAGGGACGAAGCAAGUGACGGUACCUGACGAAUAAGCCACGGCUAACUACGUGCCAGCAGCCGCGGUAAUACGUAGGUGGCAAGCGUUAUCCGGAUUUACUGGGUGUAAAGGGCGUGUAGGCGGGACUGCAAGUCAGAUGUGAAAACCACGGGCUCAACCUGUGGCCUGCAUUUGAAACUGUAGUUCUUGAGUACUGGAGAGGCAAGCGGAAUUCCUAGGGGAGCGGGGAAAUGCGUAGAUAUUAGGAAGAACACCAGUGGCGAAGGCCG
rnacentral:rRNA from 1 species